CUUUUUAGGGCUGCACCCACAGCAUAUGGAGGUUACCACACUAGGGGACCAGUAGGAGCUAUAGCUGCUGGCCUACACCACAGCCAUAGCAAUGCAGGAUCUGAUCUGCAUCUGUAACCUACACCACAGCUCAUGGCAAUGCUGGAUCCUUAACCCACUGAGCAAGGCCAGGAAUCAAACCCACAACCUCAUGGUUCCUAGUCAGAUUCAUUUCCGCUGCACCAGGGGGGAACUCCUAGAAAGACAAUAAUUUAAAUGUAACAGGAUACUUUUUUGUAGGCUAGUACAGAGGUUGUGUGGAUUUAGGCAACACUCCUGGAAAUACUUAGGAUCCUCCCUAAAAGUCUAGGGGAAAAAAGUAUCUUUCACUGUCACAGGAUGUUCAAUGACAUGGAAAAAUGGACAGGACUCAACUGUGACAAGAGUGAUAUUCAGAUACAUUAGAAAUAUGUCUUCUGGAAAAGUGCAGAGGAAACUAGAAAAGGGCAGCAUUGUAAAUAAGGAGAGAAUCUGGGGUGGUGGAUGAGAAGUAGCACAAGACCUAAGAUGUGGGUUCGAUCCCUGACCUUGCUCAGCGGAUUAAGGAGCCCAUGUUGCUGUGGCUGUGGUGUAGGUGGGCAGUUGCAGCUCUGAUUCACUCCCUCGCCUUGGAACUUCCAGAUGCCACAGGUGUGGCCCUAAAAAGCAAAAGAUAAAAAUAAAUAAAAAAUAAAGCUCAGUCUCUUGAUGGUGCCUAAGCCCUUAACCCAAACAAAAGGAAUUCAAUAAGGAACUCCUGGGCAUCUCUGUCUCUUGUGAUUCAAGAGUCAGAAUUUAAGCAUGAUCCACAAUCCUAUGUACUUGUUCUCAUUAUUAAGGUUCAAGCUCAUGGAAACUAUUCACAUCUCUUGUCCUCUCUUUGAAAGGAGUGUAACUCUAACCAAAUGCCAAGAAGGUUUGUGGGCUGUGCCCCUGCCCACUUCAGAGACUGACAAUGCUUCAGAGUGCAGGGAGGAUGGUGAGUAGCUCAAGUAUGGGAAAAACAUAUUAAAUAAUGUGUCACAAUAAUCCCCAAUAUUGUGAAUAUAAUGGAUUCUUGCAUAAUUAAGCAUAAUUUCCCAUCACUACUGAGCAUCCACUUGGCUUGGAAUGGGAGACAGAAUUCUAUGGCAACGCAAAGGAUAAACACUCCAGGUUGUUAGAGGUCAAGACCAAGUUCUACACGUGAAGAAAAGAAGCAGCAGCCAAUCCACAGAACCAGAAACACCAAGACCACCAGUGUCUGCCCUCUCCUUCACUGUCUUCCAGAGGAGUCCCCAGGUAACACAGUAGGCAUGACAAAUCGGGGCCUGCCUCUCAGAAGGGGUUGUUGAUCCAUGGAAUGAGAAGACUACUACCAUGAAAGGUGACUUCCACCAGGUGACUUCUACAAGCUGGUGGAACCUAAGAAACAUUCUAUUUCUAUAGACACAAAUUAAAAUAUUUUGUAUGAGUCGUUAUUAAGUAAUAAUAUCCCAAGGCCAGCCUUAAGUAAUAUAAAAUUUAGAAAUCCAGAGAAAACCAUGACUCGCAAAGAAACAUGUACUCCAAUGUUCAUUGCAGCACUAUUUUCAAUAGCCAAGGCAUGGAAACAACCUAAAUGUCCAUCAACAGAGGAGUGGAUCAAAAAGAUGUGGUACAUAUACACAAUUGAAUAUUACUCAGUCAUUGAAAGGAAUGAAAUACCGGCAUUUUUACCAACAUGAAUGGACCUGGAAAUUAUCAUGCUAAGUGAAGUCAGUCAUACAAUGAGACACCAACAU
ensembl:lncRNA